UUGGAUAAGGUGCUCGUGGAUUUUUGUUUUUCUGCAAAAGGGUUGUAUUUCACAUGAAAAUCAGCAUGAAUAACUUUGCUUCUCACUGUACAUUCAAUUUCCCUUCUCCUUCAUUAGGUAUGAUCCAAAAACUGAUACAUGGACAAUGGUGGCUCCACUGAGUAUGCCUCGAGAUGCUGUUGGUGUCUGUCUCCUUGGUGACAAGUUGUAUGCAGUAGGUGGAUAUGAUGGGCAAACAUACCUGAACACUAUGGAAGCCUAUGACCCUCAAACUAAUGAAUGGACACAGAUGGCUUCCUUAAAUAUCGGAAGAGCUGGUGCCUGUGUUGUAGUCAUCAAGCAACCAUGACUUUGUCAGCACUGCUUAGGAUUUUACUGACUGUGAAAUGAUUAUUUUUCUAUCAAGACAAGAACAACUUCAUAUGAACAUGGAUUUACGCAAUGAAUACUGUGUUGAUCACAAAUUUGAAGAAGCAUAAGAUUGAGAAAUAUAGAGGAUUUAUACCAAAUAAAAUCACAAAAAUUACUCAUUCUGUGAAGAAGAAAAAAAUUAGAUUGCUGUAGGCAUAAGUAUGUAAGCAUUCAGUAAUACGUUCUGUACUGUUCUCUCAAAUGUGUUUCAGAUAACUGGAUAAUUAAAAGCAUCAAGGGAUAGCUCUACGUAAGAAUCAGAAAGGAAUUUAAGAGUGGCUUUCACAGCUUUAAGAGUUUUAACAGUGGAAACGUAAAAGUAUAUUUAAUGACUUUCAAACUCUUGUUUGUUUACUUGUUUGUUUGUUUUUUAAGAGAAAAGUAGAUAAUACAAUUUUUCUAUUCAGGUUUGUUCUUCAAGUGGGUUAUAGUUUUCCCAUCUAGACAGGUAGUUAUUUUAAGGAAGACAAUUAGAUCUUACUGAAGUGCAGAAAAAGAAAAGUCUGGAUAUUCAGUUUUAAUUUAUAGUGAUUACACUCUUGCUGUACAGUAGGAAGAAAAAAAAAAAA